rnacentral:rRNA from 1 species
GAUGAACGCUGGCGGCAUGCCUAACACAUGCAAGUCGAACGGUAAGGCUCUUCGGAGUACACGAGAGGCGGACGGCUGAGUAACGCGUAGGAACACACCCUGCAGUGAGGGAUAAGACACCGAAAGGUGUUCUAAUACCGCAUACGGUCUUCGGAUUAAAGCAUUUAUGCGCUGAAGGAGUGGCCUGCGUCAUAUUAGAUAGUUGGUGGGGUAAUGGCUCACCAAGUCGAUGAUGUGUAGCUGGUCUGAGAGGAGGAUCAGCCAGACUGGAACUGAGACACGGUCCAGACUCGUACGGGAGGCAGCAGUGAGGAAUAUUUCACAAUGAGCGAAAGCGUGAUGGAGCAAUGCCGCGUGCAGGAUGAAGGCCCUCGGGUUGUAAACUGCUUUUAUAAGAGAAGAUUAUGACGGUAACUGAUGAAUAAGGGACGGCUAACUACGUG